rnacentral:rRNA from 1 species
AGUGAACGCUGGCGGUAGGCCUAACACAUGCAAGUCGAACGGCAGCACAGUAAGAGCUUGCUCUUACGGGUGUCGAGUGUCGGACGGGUGAGUAAUACAUCGGAAUCUACUUUUUCGUGGGGGCUAACGUAGGGAAACUUCCGCUAAUACCGCAUACGACCUCCGUGUGAAAGCAGGCGAUCUUCGGACCUUUCGCGAUUGAAUGAGCCUAUGUCGGAUUAGCUAGUUGGCGGGGUAAAGGCCCACCACGGCGACGAUCCGUAGCUGGUCUGAGAGGAUGAUCAGCCACACUGGAACUGAGACACGGUCCAGACUCCUACGGGAGGCAGCAGUGGGGAAUAUUGGACAAUGGGCGCAAGCCUGAUACAGCCAUACCGCGUGGGUGAAGAAGGACUUCGGGUUGUAAAGCCCUUUUGUUGGGAAAGAAAAGCAGCAGGUUAAUACCCCGCUGUUAUGACGGUACCCAAAGAAUAAGCACCGGCUAACUUCGUG